rnacentral:rRNA from 1 species
UACGUAGGUGGCAAGCGUUGUCCGGAAUUAUUGGGCGUAAAGCGCGCGCAGGCGGCCUUUUAAGUCUGAUGUGAAAGCCCACGGCUCAACCGUGGAAGGUCAUUGGAAACUGAGAGGCUUGAGUACAGAAGAGGAAAGCGGAAUUCCACGUGUAGCGGUGAAAUGCGUAGAGAUGUGGAGGAACACCAGUGGCGAAGGCGGGUCUCUGGACAGUUCCUGACGCUGAGGCACGAAGGUCAGGGGAGCAAACGGG